UUUGAUCAUGGCUCAGAUUGAACGCUGGCGGCAGGCCUAACACAUGCAAGUCGAACGGUAACAGGAAGCAGCUUGCUGCUUCGCUGACGAGUAGCGGACGGGUGAGUAAUGUCUGGGAAACUGCCUGAUGGAGGGGGAUAACUACUGGAAACGGUGGCUAAUACCGCAUAACGUCGCAAGACCAAAGAGGGGGACCUUCGGGCCUCUUGCCAUCAGAUGUGCCCAGAUGGGAUUAGCUUGUUGGUGAGGUAACGGCUCACCAAGGCGACGAUCCCUAGCUGGUCUGAGAGGAUGACCAGCCACACUGGAACUGAGACACGGUCCAGACUCCUACGGGAGGCAGCAGUGGGGAAUAUUGCACAAUGGGCGCAAGCCUGAUGCAGCCAUGCCGCGUGUAUGAAGAAGGCCUUCGGGUUGUAAAGUACUUUCAGCGGGGAGGAAGGUGUUGUGGUUAAUAACCGCAGCAAUUGACGUUACCCGCAGAAGAAGCACCGGCUAACUCCGUGCCAGCAGCCGCGGUAAUACGGAGGGUGCAAGCGUUAAUCGGAAUUACUGGGCGUAAAGCGCACGCAGGCGGUCUGUCAAGUCGGAUGUGAAAUCCCCGGGCUCAACCUGGGAACUGCAUUCGAAACUGGCAGGCUUGAGUCUUGUAGAGGGGGGUAGAAUUCCAGGUGUAGCGGUGAAAUGCGUAGAGAUCUGGAGGAAUACCGGUGGCGAAGGCGGGUGGCGAAGGCGGCCCCCUGGACAAAGACUGACGCUCAGGUGCGAAAGCGUGGGGAGCAAACAGGAUUAGAUACCCUGGUAGUCCACGCCGUAAACGAUGUCUACUUGGAGGUUGUGCCCUUGAGGCGUGGCUUCCGGAGCUAACGCGUUAAGUAGACCGCCUAGGGAGUACGGCCGCAAGGUUAAAACUCAAAUGAAUUGACGGGGGCCCGCACAAGCGGUGGAGCAUGUGGUUUAAUUCGAUGCAACGCGAAGAACCUUACCUGGUCUUGACAUCCACAGAACUUUCCAGAGAUGGAUUGGUGCCUUCGGGAACUGUGAGACAGGUGCUGCAUGGCUGUCGUCAGCUCGUGUUGUGAAAUGUUGGGUUAAGUCCCGCAACGAGCGCAACCCUUAUCCUUUGUUGCCAGCGGUUAGGCCGGGAACUCAAAGGAGACUGCCAGUGAUAAACUGGAGGAAGGUGGGGAUGACGUCAAGUCAUCAUGGCCCUUACGACCAGGGCUACACACGUGCUACAAUGGCGCAUACAAAGAGAAGCGACCUCGCGAGAGCAAGCGGACCUCAUAAAGUGCGUCGUAGUCCGGAUUGGAGUCUGCAACUCGACUCCAUGAAGUCGGAAUCGCUAGUAAUCGUGGAUCAGAAUGCCACGGUGAAUACGUUCCCGGGCCUUGUACACACCGCCCGUCACACCAUGGGAGUGGGUUGCAAAAGAAGUAGGUAGCUUAACCUUCGGGAGGGCGCUUACCACUUUGUGAUUCAUGACUGGGGUGAAGUCGUAACAAGGUAACC
rnacentral:rRNA from 1 species